GAUGAACGCUGGCGGCGUGCCUAAUACAUGCAAGUCGAGCGACGCGGGGGCGGGUGAGUAACACGUGGAUAACCUCCUAUAAGACUGGGGUAACUUCGGGGAACCGGAGCUAAAACGGAUACUUAUACCUGGAUCCGCUCUGCAUUAGCUGGUUGGUAAGGUAACGGCUUACCAAGGCAACGAUGCAUAGCCGACCUGAGAGGGUGAUCGGCCACACUGGAACUGAGACACGGCCCAGACUCCUACGGGAGGCAGCAGUAGGGAAUCUUCCGCAAUGGGCGAAAGCCUGACGGAGCAACGCCGCGUGAGUGAUGAAGGCCUUCGGAUUGUAAAGCUCUGUUAGUAGGGAAGCGUUACCCACUCAGAAAGCCCCGGCUAACUACGUGCCAGCAGCCGCGGUAAUAC
rnacentral:rRNA from 1 species